UUUGGUUUUUGUUAUAGUGUUUUGAAAGCACUUGUUAAGAAAUAUUUUCUUAAAAG
rnacentral:tRNA from 2 species